UACGGAGGAUGCAAGCGUUAUCCGGAAUGAUUGGGCGUAAAGGGUCCGCAGGUGGCUAUGUAAGUCUGCUGUUAAAGAGUGAGGCUCAACCUCAUAAGAGCAGUGGAAACUACAUGGCUAGAGUGCGUUCGGGGCAGAGGGAAUUCCUGGUGUAGCGGUGAAAUGCGUAGAUAUCGGGAGGAACACCAGUGGCGAAGGCGGCUUUCUGGCCUGUUCUUGACGCUGAGGCGCGAAAGCUAGGGUAGCAAACGGG
rnacentral:rRNA from 1 species